rnacentral:rRNA from 1 species
AGAUUGAACGCUGGCGGCAUGCCUUACACAUGCAAGUCGAACGGCAGCACGGGAGCAAUCCUGGUGGCGAGUGGCGAACGGGUGAGUAAUACAUCGGAACGUGCCCAAUCGUGGGGGAUAACGCAGCGAAAGCUGUGCUAAUACCGCAUAAGAUCUACGGAUGAAAGCAGGGGAUCGCAAGACCUUGCGCGAAUGGAGCGGCCGAUGGCAGAUUAGGGUAGUUGGUACGAGGGUUAAAAGGCUUACGACCCGAAGCCCUUUCGAUCUGUAGCUGGUCUGAGUAGGACGACCAGCCACGACUGGGACCUGACGUACACCGGCCCAGACCUCCGUACGGGAGCAGCAGGU